CACCGCGGUUAUACGAGAGACCCAAGUUGUUAGACACCGGCGUAAAGAGUGGUUAGGGAUACUCAUCCAACUAGAGCCGAACACCUUCAAAGCUGUUAUACGCACCCGAAGGUAAGAAGCCCAACUACGAAAGUGGCUUUAUGUUAACUGAACCCACGAAAGCUAGGACA
rnacentral:rRNA from 1 species